rfam:Myotis brandtii contig190427, whole genome shotgun sequence.
CUGCAGAGAGAGAGAGGCAGGGUCUGAUCCCCAGCCUCCAUGGCAGCUGUUGAUCAGCCAUUGCCUCUCUCUUUCUCUCCC